rnacentral:tRNA from 1 species
GCCGGAGUGGCGGAACGGUUUACGCGGCAGUCUCAAACACUGCUGAGGGCAACCUCAUGUGGGUUCGAAUCCCACCUCCGGCA